rnacentral:rRNA from 1 species
GAUGAACGCUGGCGGCGUGCCUAAUACAUGCAAGUCGAGCGAAUGGAUUAAGAGCUUGCUCUUAUGAAGUUAGCGGCGGACGGGUGAGUAACACGUGGGUAACCUGCCCAUAAGACUGGGAUAACUCCGGGAAACCGGGGCUAAUACCGGAUAACAUUUUGAACCGCAUGGUUCGAAAUUGAAAGGCGGCUUCGGCUGUCACUUAUGGAUGGACCCGCGUCGCAUUAGCUAGUUGGUGAGGUAACGGCUCACCAAGGCAACGAUGCGUAGCCGACCUGGGAGGGUGAUCGGCCAAACUGGGACUGAGACACGGCCCAGACUCCUACGGGAGGCGGCAGUAGGGAAUCAUCCGCAAUGGACGAAAGUCUGACGGAGCAACGCCGCGUGAGUGAUGAAGGCUUUCGGGUCGUAAAACUCUGUUGUUAGGGAAGAACAAGUGCUAGUUGAAUAAGCUGGCACCUUGACGGUACCUAACCAGAAAGCCACGGCUAACUACGUGCCAGCCGCCGCAGUAA